rnacentral:rRNA from 1 species
UGAACGCUGGCGGCGUGCCUAAUACAUGCAAGUCGAGCGAACAGACGCGGAGCUUGCUCCUCUGGCGUUAGCGGCGGACGGGGGAGUAACACGUGGAUAACCUACCUAUAAGACUGGGAUAACUUCGGGAAACCGGAGCUAAUACCGGAUAAUAUAUUGAACCGCAUGGUUCAAUAGUGAAAGACGGUUUUGCUGUCACUUAUAGAUGGAUCCGCGCCGCAUUAGCUAGUUGGUAAGGUAACGGCUUACCAAGGCAACGAUGCGUGGCCGACCUGAGAGGGUGAUCGGCCACACUGGAACUGAGACACGGUCCAGACUCCUACGGGAGGCAGCAGUAGGGAAUCUUCCGCAAUGGGCGAAAGCCUGACGGAGCAACGCCGCGUGAGUGAUGAAGGUCUUCGGAUCGUAAAACUCUGUUAUUAGGGAAGAACAAAUGUGUAAGUAACUAUGCACGUCUUGACGGUACCUAAUCAGAAAGCCACGGCUAACUACGUG